UUAGGCUGUAAAGCUUUGAUGAAAAUAGCUGUUUCAGGAAGUCUUUCCUGAUUUAAACAAAUGGUUAGUUUCAAAUGUAUGAGGAGUUUUAAGGAGUAGAGGCUACUUAUCUCUACGGAUGUAAAUACCGCAUUCCUACACUGCAAAGCCAUCUCUCUUCUAGAGAUACACCAGAUGUUUUCUUCAAAUUAUUCCUUAUUAUCUCUCAGCGGUGAAUAAUGUAAAUAAAGUUAUGACAUUUCUAAUUCCGGACUUUGCAGAAGCGUUCCACCGAGAGCUACACUGCAGUUGCGGGACGCCUUGCGACGGCACGCAGACAGUGGAUGAGAGAGCUGGAUCAUCAAGGAAGAGUUUUUGCUGCUGUGCCCGGCUGAUAUAAAGGAACGGCUGCUCGACCAAGAACCCAAGACAGCAUAGGAAGCCGGAGAGCUGGCGGACCAGAACAGAUGCUUUGCUAAGGGCGUAUCCUGUGCCAUCUUCUACGUCAGCUUCUACCUCGUGGGGGAAGGAGCUAGCGUCUCUUCCACGCGCCGGGAUAGCUGCGGCCAUUUCCUUUGUAAUUUGUAAGUUGGGCACCGUAGUACUACCUCCGCAGAAAACAGCAAGCACGCACUCUCAUCUGGAAGGGGUCGCUGACAUCUUCGGUGUUGUUUGUCUUCAGCACAGAGGACAGCCCCAAUCACAAUAUGCAAACUUUGGGAAAGCCACUUUGGGAAGCAAGGGAAAGCAAGUACGUCACCUUUAGGGACGCGAGAUAUAUUUACGUGACUCCGCUGGGUUCCUGCUUCGCCUGGAGGGAACAAGAGACGCUGCUCGUAUAGUUUAGCAGUCCCUGGAUUUUCGGCCAUCUUCAGUGUUUGUCUCCAGCACAGAGGACAGAGGGAGCAUGCAACCUGUGGGGAAACAAGGUAUCAUGCAUGGAGUCCCCGCCAUCUUCAUUCUCCCACUGAUGUUCCUGCAGGUGAGUGUACAGAUAAAUAAUGGGGCUUGAUUUAAGCACAGAGUACAGGUAGAUAGGGGGGCACUAGUUUCCCUUGCAGAAUACCAGACUCGGCACCUGAGGGUCCACAAAAAGUUUUAAGAGGUACCUUCAUUUCUGAACAGCAACAAUACUAAUAGCUCUGAUCGCCGUGGCUCUAUUUAAUGCGUAAAUUGUUGAAAAAUAAAGCACAUGAAGGAUAACCAUAAUUGUUAUCGUA